rnacentral:rRNA from 1 species
GACGAACGCUGGCGGCGUGCUUAACACAUGCAAGUCGAACGGAAAGGCCCUGCUUUUGUGGGGUGCUCGAGUGGCGAACGGGUGAGUAACACGUGAGUAACCUGCCCUUGACUUUGGGAUAACUUCAGGAAACUGGGGCUAAUACCGGAUAGGAGCUCCUGCUGCAUGGUGGGGGUUGGAAAGUUUCGGCGGUUGGGGAUGGACUCGCGGCUUAUCAGCUUGUUGGUGGGGUAGUGGCUUACCAAGGCUUUGCCGGGUAGCCGGCCUGAGAGGGUGACCGGCCACAAUAGGACUGAGAUACGGCCCAGACUCCUACGGGAGGCAACAGUGGGGAAUAUUGCACAAUGGGCGGAAGCCUGAUGCAGCAACGCCGCGUGCGGGAUGACGGCCUUCGGGUUGUAAACCGCUUUAGCCUGUGACGAAGCGUGAGUGACGGUAAUGGGUAAAGAAGCACCGGCUAACUACGUG